AAUUUCACAUAAGCCCAGGCUGCCUGUAAACCCUCAAACUUGCUAUGUAGCUUUGAAAUUCUGAUCCUCCUGCCUCCAGCUGCCAAGCACUGGGAUUGCAGGGGUGUGCUAGGAUACUCGGCCCCCGAUAUAUGGCAUUUAAUUUUGCACUGAGAGCUACUCUGUCUACCACUCAAGUGAAAUGCAUCCGUCCACUGCCUAACCACCACUCUCCCCUCUGCUAGAAACCUUUUCUCCAACCUACUUCAAAGCGUUUGGCUAUCUUCUAAAUGGUGAGGGUCAUCGACAUCCAAACCUUCAGACAGCGGAAGAUUGCAGUGUCAGCAUGGCGCGGCCAGGAGAGACCGUCACCAAGAAGCCGGGACAGGAAAGGGAUCUUUAUAAGCUAUGACUAACAAGAAAAGCAAACUUUAGUAAUUCAGAGGCUGAGAGACAGAAUGAGACUUUGGCCAGCCACACAGGGAAUGGAGCAAGCAGGAGCUGUGACACAGCCCAACGGUAGAGUACCUGCCAAGUACGAGGAAGUCCUUGGGUUCGAUCCCCAGCAUAGGAAGAGAGCCAAGCUUGGUUGUAUCCACUCACAAUCACAGAACUCCGAAGGUGAACGCAGGAGGCUGAGGAGUUUAAGGUCAGCCAGGACUCGACGAGACCUCUUGAGAACGAAAGGAAAGAAGGGGGGCCGAGGCAUGAAGCAGGUCUUGCCAUCAAGAACUGGCAGAGACAUUCUCCUCCCACUCCUGUCACCUGCAUCAGAAAUAACCUGAUUACAGGCACACAGCGUACAUAACCUAUGAACCACACCCAUGCUCUGGAAGGUAGGACCUCUCCGCUUCCUCCGAAACCCUUAUAGAAAGUCCUCUCAUCUAAGAAUCCAGUGUAUCAUUAUCGUGAACACUCGGGCAUAGCCAACUUGUGACCUGAAAUGCACUGUGUAGUGGAGAUCGGCCAAACCCCACUAGAAAAGACCCCCCAACCAGAUGAGGGGUGGGAGGAUGGACAGGCUAGCAGAAAUGUCAGCAGUGACCUUGUGACCAGACACAGCGCCAGGUGUACUCUGCCUGUGUCCUGCCUCUGGACCCAAACUUCCCUACUCCUCUUCCUCUUCCUCCCUAUGCUAAUUAACACGAGGGUUGACUGGUGAUAAACCUCCACUUCAGUCUCUUAUAUGGCAGUGUCACUGAAUGGUAAAAAAUUAUUAGUUUUUUUUACCAGAGAUGGAUCCAGCGACUGCUGGGGCUGUGUUCUCCCUUCAUCCUGACAGGGAUGUAUUUGUACAAGGGAUAAUUUCAUCUUGGGAGGUGACCACACAAGGUAGAGUGUGAACGUUUAGAUAUGCACGUAGCUGUCGAGUCACCAAGAAGGUGGACAAGGCAAAUCAGCUGUCCACUCGGUCCCCAGCCCUCUGGUCUAGAUUCCUCUUUGGGAUCUGGUUCCGCAACUGGAGGUGAGGCUUGUCUGCUGCUAACUGCAGAGGCCCUUUCGAGAAAGAAGCGGAUCUAGUGGAAGGGAACCUCACCCCAGCAGCGGCCUUCACCUUGGUUUAGCAGUUGAGCUUACUCGACUUUAAUGAAAUCCAUUGGGCAGACAUGGUGGGGGCUGUGUCCCUGCUCUGGAAGACUUUUAAUAACUUCGGUCCUGGUAAACUCCUCCUCCCUCCCUUUCCAGCCUUAGACCAGGGUCGCUUGCUGCUCUGACUGCUGGUGACAAUAAAGUACUCUGUUAAUGGAUUCCACUUUCCCCACCUGACUAGCUAAAUCUGACAGUACCAACCUAGCUGCUACAUGAGGAAAGUUCCAAGAAGCACAGUGAUCAACACUGUCAUGCAUUUUAGUGUGUGUGUGUGCAUGUGCCUGUGUGUGUGUGUUCACACUCAUGUGAUUUUGUAUACUUUUGGAGACUGGAAGACAACCUCAGGUGUUCCUCAAGAACUCCCCUCCUCUUCUCAGUUUAGAAAGGAUCUCUCCCUGAGCUGGAACUCACUAAGUAGGCCUAGUUACCCAGCAAGCCUUAAACAUCUGCCUGUCUCUCUGGCAUGGGGAUUGAAAGCAUUCACCAUCGCACCUGGCUUCUUCUUGUUGUUGGUUGUUGUUACUUGUUGUUUGUUUGUUUGUUUGUUUUUAUGUGAGUUCUGGGGACUCAAACUCAGGUCCCCAUACCUGCGAGAGGAGCACCUUACCAACUCCACCAUCUCUCCAGCCUCCAUCAACACCAUCAAAGACCGCUCUGAAUGAGUGUCAGCGGUCACCUCAGAAGCCACUCGAGCUGUUAUACAGUAGAGACAAAGGGCUUAGCACAGGGCUCUCCCUACAUAGAGCAAGUUCCCAGCCCCUGGCUGGCACUACGGUUUUAGAUGCUUCCACUCUUGUCAUUACUUUCUUCUGUGAAUCGCCUUUCUCUGAUCUCACCUCCUAGCCUCAUCAGACUGGCCAUCAUCAAUCAGACUCUCCGAGGCAUGAUGAGCAGUGACCAUUUCCAUGGUGUAGGACCCAUAGGGUCAAGGGACAAUGGCAAGUGAGAUGCUUACAGUCUGGUGGGGAGUCUGUCAGUUGUUUCAGGGACACAUGCAUGCUCAGAGAUGCACUUAGAUUCUCAGCGGGAAGCUCUGUACUUAGUGCAACUAAGAUUUGCUACAAUACCAUGGACAGGUUUAAGUACUACUAGACCACAAAAUAAAACAGCCCAGACCCACAAGCAGAAGUCCACCUAUUCUCCCACCAUGAGGGGAUCCACAACCCUCUCUCUGUGCACCCCGUAAACCCUAUUUCAGCUCAGGGAAAUUCGUCAGAGACAGAGAUGUUCAGUGAAGGGCUGGUCACCCAGGCAACCUCUGCCUAGUGUGUAUCAAAAGCCCAGGCUGUCGGGGAGAAAGCAGAUGUUGGAAACCAAUUGGCACCAUUUGUACAAACAGCACAGGAUCCCUCUUCUGAGCGAUUAUUGCCUUUUAUCCUCUGGCUUCUUCUCCACCAAAAUCUCCCACAAGGCAAGAGACAGCCUGGACAUUCCUGUGACAGGAGAGCUCCACUCCCUUUGGACCAUGAGCACAUACCCGCCCAGUGGAAACUCCUCCUGAGGAAAAGGCCCCUCCUUACAGGUACCCUGUCCUCUCCCUCUGGAACAGAAAGCACAGGGUACCUGUCAUUAUCUGGCUCAUUUCCCCACCCCCAAAUAAAUUCUGAAUUUAUGAAGCCA